UGAGCAAUCUGCCCUUCUCAUCGGAAUAAGCGUUGGAAACGACGUCUAAUGCCGAAUACGACCUCCUUUCGCAUGAUCGGAGGUGGAAAGCUCCGGCGGAGAAGGAUGAGCUCGCGGCCUAUCAGCUAGUUGGUGUGGGUAAUGGCCCACCAAGGCGACGACGGGUAGCCGGCCUGAGGAGGGUGACCGGCCACACUGGGACUGAGACACGGCCCAGACCUCCGUACGGGAGC
rnacentral:rRNA from 1 species